UGGGGAAUUGUUCGCAAUGGGCGCAAGCCUGACGACGCAACGCCGCGUGAGUGAUGAAGGCCUUAGGGUUGUAAAGCUCUUUUACCCGGGAUGAUAAUGACAGUACCGGGAGAAUAAGCCCCGGCUAACUCCGUGCCAGCAGCCGCGGUAAUACGGAGGGGGCUAGCGUUGUUCGGAAUUACUGGGCGUAAAGCGCGCGUAGGCGGCUUUGUAAGUCAGAGGUGAAAGCCUGGAGCUCAACUCCAGAACUGCCUUUGAAACUACAUCGCUAGAAUCAUGGAGAGGUUAGUGGAAUUCCGAGUGUAGAGGUGAAAUUCGUAGAUAUUCGGAAGAACACCAGUGGCGAAGGCGACUAACUGGACAUGUAUUGACGCUGAGGUGCGAAAGCGUGGGGAGCAAA
rnacentral:rRNA from 1 species